UACUUCCCUCCUUCAGUUCCUAUUUGAGGAAACUGAGGCUAUGAGCAUCUGUCCCAAAUACACAGAAUUAGUCCUGGGCUUGGACCCAAGUCCUGCAGUAGCAGCCACUACCUCUGACAGGCAGAUCUGUCCUCAAAACAAAGCAGGGCUCUCAUCACGGAGCUGGGACAGCCUGCCUGCCUGGUUGAGAGGCAGAAAUGGCUUCAUGGGAGCUCAGCACAUGCUUGUUCCCUCAGCCAUGUGACUUUGGGAAACUCACCAAAACCUCUCUGGGCCUCACUGGCUCAUUUGUCAAGAGGCGAUGCUAACCUGUGCCGUCUGCAUCGCGGGGUUCUGUGAGGGCCUGCUGAGAGGUGAAACGGACGGGAGAAAGGCUUCGGGGGAGUCAGGAGCGAGUGGGAUGGUCCUUCAUAAAGGUUCUACUGACAUGUUACUACAGAAGCAGAAGCCCAGGAGACAGAAAGCAGACAGGCUACAAUCCCGUCCGGGAGCCCUGCUCUGGAACCAGGACCUGCCCCUGCACGGGGUCCAAGCGAGGCCCACGGUCCACAGAGCCAGACCCUGCCCCGAACCGAUGGCCAAUCCUAGAAGACAAAAGACAGAGAGAUGGUCUUCCUGAACCAGGAACCCCAGAGAAAAUUUCCAAGAGGAGAUAUCCUAACUGGAGGAUGGUCCAGACAGCUUGGUUUGCACAACACAGCAGAAAUACAGCAGCGAUAGAGUGUGAACAUCAUUAUCCUCCAUUUUAUCACUGAGAAAGCCGAGUCUCCAAAAGAAACCCACCCUUGCAACAGUGAAUGGAGGCAGAGGAGAGGGUCAUGAAUAUGCUCACACUGAUAUACUUGCCCGGAAACUUCUGCCAUCGAGAAAGUCCAAAGUUUUUAGAAGCCUCAAGCUGGCUGGUUUGAAUCCUUGUUCCACUCAAAUUCACCCUCAACAGUGGCCAGAGGCCCUACCCUCUGCCUGCUGGGAACCCAUCCGUGGGUUGAAGCGUGAUUGAAGCGUGGAUUGAAGCACGAGCAACUUGGUUGGGACGCAGGCCCUGCAGGACUGGGGCUGCCUACAUACCCGAUAGACAUCUGUCUCCCCUACAAGACUUUCUUGAGGUGGGUCUAUGUCUCCUUUGUUUCUGUACCGCUAACACCAAGAGUCACGCCCAACACAUAGUGGACACCCCACAAACGGUGAUGAGUAUCAACUGGUGAAUUAAUUAACAUCACGGACAAAGUGCUCCUAAUUGGCAUCUAAUCCUGUUUAUUUAACUUCUCAUCUUUCUGUGAACUCAGUGGCCCUGGACCUUGCCAAAGCAGUCCACAGCCCUAAGGGAUUAUGUGGCUGGGACUUCCUCUGCAGUCAGUGUCUGCAAGGCUGAGGACAGCGAACACUGAGCCACCCUGGUGAGAGAAGUGGAAAAUAGGUAGCAGCCACUGAGAGCUUGCAGCCAACGAGAUGUUUUUCUAGUCUGGAUCCACACACCCAGACAGUCCCGAGAGGUCCUGAGGGCAAGUGAGUGUCCACUUGCACAAGAACUUACUCCCACGGAGGCCACCCUACCACCAAGCCCACCCAGCCUUUCUCCCCAGUGCCGGCGGUUCAUGCCCACUUCCUCUUCCACAUUCCACAACACUGUCUCCUGGAGCCCAGCCUAGCUUCUGUUCCUGCUUGCCUUAAUUCCAGAAUGCCUCGUGGAAAGGUUUCUACCUCUACGUUUCCUCCCAAG
ensembl:lncRNA